UUACUUACCUGGCAGGGCAGAUACCAUGAUCACUAAGGUGAUUCUCCCAGGACAAGGCGAUCCCAUUGCACUCCGGGUGUGCUGACACCUUGAUUGCGCUUGAUUGAAUACUUUUGAAGUGUAGUCGAUGCUGCAGUGUAAGAAAUGCAACUGUGCACAG